CAUACCAUGCUGAAUAUACCGGUUCUCGUUAGAUCACCGAAGUCAAGCAUCAUUGGGCACGGUCAGUACUUGGGUGGGUGACCACCUGGGAACACCGCGUGCCGUU
rnacentral:rRNA from 1 species